rfam:Cyphomyrmex costatus contig16522, whole genome shotgun sequence.
AUAACGGUCCUUUUCAGGACCACGCAUUUAUUCAUACGAAGAAUAU